AACACACUUUAUUGGAGCACUUACACUUGAGGUUGUAGAGAAGCAAAAGACCCCGUCCCCGCGAAGCAGAAGAAUAUAUACGGUGCCAGACAAAGCCCUGACAUGUCAUCAACCCAAUGGCUCAGGCCAGAAUGGAGUGAUCGUGCUUAAAUUUUGAUUGGCCAGAUCAGAUGGCCAGAUCGAAAGACUCCCCGCGCUGGGGGGAGCUCGCGCGCAUGCGCACAAGUUGUCUGUCAAGUUUGACGUGGAAAAGCAAACGGCGCCCAGGCUCAGUGCCCACGACAUGACAGCGCCAUGGCUCAUGUUACAUCGCCGCGCGCUACAUCUCCAUGCACUACAUUGUACCAAGCUGACCUCUGAAUUCACAUCUCUCUACUGGUACAGCUCAUCAGCGAAGUUUCUUUGUGUAACAGUGGACACUGGUGAAUGCCAAAAUUCACAGUUGAUCUACAUGCAGAAAAGGGAGAAUUGUCACUGAGGCCUGUGGUCCCACCAUAGCAAAGGACAAUGGUGUGGAAUGACUUGAGCUGAGAUGCCCGGCUGGAGAUCAAGGCAGGACCACACCAAGGGCAGGAGAAUUUGUGGGAGAAAAGCAGAAGAUGAUGCCGACUCAGUUUUUAUUUAAUGAUCUUCGUGGGAAAUCCAUGUCAGAAAGGUUUAACAGGGCACGCGCGCUCCGCAGACGCCCACGAGGGUGAAACCAGGAUGAGCCCAAAGCAGUGUUUUCUUCCACAGAGCUAAAGCAGAUGCGUUCAUCGUGGCAGCGGCGGCUGCUGGGAAAAUCCCAGCCUUCGGUAUUGGGCUGACUGCGCCCACCGCCUGCAGGCACUCCCAUCCCAGAUGUCAUACCAAACCUCAGUUUCUUCUUCUUUCUAAUUCUUUCCCUAUCCCCUCUAGUUGGAAGCCGUUGGCAAAAGCAUACAGAAACAAAACUUAGAAGCUAAUAAACAACAGUUCAUAUAUAUAUAUAUAU